GGAGUUAGCCGGUGCUUCUUCUGCGAGUAACGUCACAGAUGUAAGGUAUUAACUUACACCCUUUCCUCCUCGCUGAAAGUGCUUUACAACCCGAAGGCCUUCUUCACACACGCGGCAUGGCUGCAUCAGGGUUUCCCCCAUUGUGCAAUAUUCCCCACUGCUGCCUCCCGUAGGAGUCUGGACCGUGUCUCAGUCCCAGUGUGGCUGAUCAUCCUCUCAGACCAGCUAGGGAUCGUCGCCUAGGUGAGCCUUUACCUCACCUACUAGCUAAUCCCACCUGGGCUUAUCCAUCAGCGCAAGGCCCGAAGGUCCCCUGCUUUCCCCCGUAGGGCGUAUGCGGUAUUAGCAGUCGUUUCCAACUGUUAUCCCCCACAAAUGGGCAAAUUCCCAGGCAUUACUCACCCGUCCGCCGCUCGUCAUCUUCAAAAGCAAGCUUUUGAAAUGUUACCGCUCGACUUGCAUGUGUUAGGCCUGCCGCCAGCGUUCAAUCUGAGCCAGGAUCAAACUCUGA
rnacentral:rRNA from 1 species